rnacentral:rRNA from 1 species
UACGUAGGUGGCAAGCGUUGUCCGGAUUUACUGGGCGUAAAGGAUGCGUAGGUGGAUAUUUAAGUGGGAUGUGAAAUACCCGGGCUCAACUUGGGUGCUGCAUUCCAAACUGGAUAUCUAGAGUGCAGGAGAGGAAAGCGGAAUUCCUAGUGUAGCAGUGAAAUGCGUAGAUAUUAGGAGGAACACCAGUGGCGAAGGCGGCUUUCUGGACUGUAACUGACACUGAGGCAUGAAAGCGUGGGGAGCAAACAGG